rnacentral:lncRNA from 1 species
UUUACAUACAGGUGUGAGCCGUAUUUACUUACUUAUUUUUACAUACAGGUGUGAGCCAUAUUUACUUAUUUUUACAUACAGGUGUGAGCCAUAUUUAUUUUUACAUACAGGUGUGAGCCAUAUUUACUUAUUUUUACAUACAAUACAAACACUUUAAAUAAAGUUGAAGAUUAUUUCCAUGGACCAGGUGGUCAAGCCGAACACCCAGGAUCCAGCUGUCAAGUUCAGGGUAGCCCCUGAGCUUCUCACUCUGACUCCAACAGGGUGAGCUUGCUAUCCUUGUGGCACAGGGCCUUUUGCAUUGUGGAUGAUGGAGCGGCUCGUAUAGUCCCUAAGUUUUGUGCGUAGCUGUGUACCCUGUCCCUGUGAGCUGGUUCUGCCCGGCACCUCGGUGACCUCGAGGAAAGAAGCUGAGAGACAGAGUCUUGCUUUGUCACCCAGGCUGGAGGACAGUGGCACCAUCAUAGCUCACUGCGGACUCGAAUUCCUGGGCUCAAGGGAUCCUCCUGCCUCGGCCUCCAAAAAUGACGGAGUCUUGCUGUGUCACCCAGGCUGGAGUGCAGUGGUAC